rnacentral:misc_RNA from 1 species
GUGAAUCAUCGAAUUUUUGAACGCAAAUUGCACUCUCUGGUAUUCCGGAGAGUAUGUCUGUUUGAGGGUCAGUUUAAAUAAAAAUCGGCGUGGUUGCUGCCUUUCGUGGUGACGCAUCGGAUAUGGGUAGCCUUGUCUUCGGUUACGUGACCUAAAAUUCUGCAUGAUUUUUUCGAAUGUAUUUAAAUGAUUUCACGAACGUUUGCGAUAACGGAUAUUAGGUGUGGUUAUCCUUAAGAUCCGCGCCUAUAAUUUUUCAUUCAAUUGA